GGGGAUUCAGCUCAGCGGCAUAAGCACCUGCCUUGCAAGCAGGCAGUCGUUCAAUCCUUGCAAGCAGGAGUUCAAUCCCCA
rnacentral:tRNA from 1 species